rnacentral:snRNA from 1 species
AGCUUUGCACAGUGGCAGUAUCAUAGCCAAUGAGGUUUAUCCAAGGUGCGAUUAUUGCUAAUUGAAACCCAUUUCCUCACAGGGCUGACUUUGUGGAAUUCUCUGUCCCCUUUACAUUACUGUGAAGUGA